UCGCUGCCGUUUAAAAGGACAUUACCAAAAGAAGACCUGAGAACCGGUAAACACCCAGUCAGCGAAACCACAUUGUUUUCUGCCCUCCAAUCAGUCCAGAAUGAAAGGGAACUCCCUGGGGCUUAGGAACUUGAGAGAUACUGUCGUCCUUCUAGCUCAGGUGCAGUAAGAACCCAGUUGGGCGGCAUCAGGCCCAUGAUUCUCUCUCUACCCUGGGGGCCAGUGUGAGAUAUGAGCUACUGUUGUCUAUCCAUACAGCAGGAUGGGUAUGGAGCUGUUCACAGUUACAGUUUGUCCUUGGACAGUGUCUGCAGUUCAGGAUGAAGGGAAACAAAGUCCCAGCCACCGCUUGGAGCUGACAUACAGUUGGCAGAGCAUGAACUACACCAUGAGGGUGAAGGACACAUGUACAGGUGAAGGCAUGUAUACUCACAUGUAAAUUCUUCAUCAGGUAGGUCUCUAAAGGGAAGAGGCUGAAUCGAGGUGCCCUGAGUGCCUAAACCAGCCCUUUGCUCUCUGCAGCAUCCUUCCCACUCAGAACUCCAGAAGAGGCCCUUCUAGCUCAUGCUGUAUCAUCCACAUAACUCCCUAAACAUAAAACAGACCUUGCCCAGGGAAGGCCAUCCACUCCUCCAUCCCAGGCUAAGGCCGGCCAUCAGGAAACAAGGCAGCACUAAAAGUUUAUAACCUGUGCCUUGAAACUCAACACCAAACACGCCCGGAGCUGUGCUCUCUUUACAGGCUGUGGGAGAACCUGUCCAGCCUUUCAGGGCUGGUUCUCAGUCAAGGAAACCACAAGGGGUGGCCCUUGCAGUGGUCAGCAGCAGGGAAUACAAAGAGUCAUCUCAAACGGGACAGCUAACAGCAGUGGAAAGCAGAUGAAACAGAUGUGCCCCGUGCUUUUCCUUCCCUGGGUUUUUCUCCUUUCCUGAGACCAAGAGCACUUGGACCCCACCCCUCUGAGCGGGGACGUCGAGCUAUAAGCUGAUGAUGAAGCAAUGAAGAGACUAAGCCUCUAAGAUGUGAGAUGAUGCCGCUAUGGGGGCCCCACCAGAAAUGGCAGUUGGAAAAUGCUAAGGCCAGGUGGCCCAAGCCCUUAAGUUUAAAAAACAAAUAAACAAAAAUGAGUUCCAUGUGCUUCA